AUGGGGCAUAGCGGAGCAAAUACAGCUGAAUCUGAGAUGAGAACAUACUUUGGAAACAACCAAGGAGCAUGAAGGAAUUUAUCCCCAAGGCCAAGAGUGCCAUCUUGUGGCUUCCAUAGGUCCAAGUUCAUACUCUCCUGAUCCAUACUAAAUGUAAAAGAAGAUAAUUUUUCCUCCUGGAAUCACCUACUCCAGUCCUGGGAUUCAUAGGCCAUCUUGAGGCAGGUACCUCCCUUA
rnacentral:lncRNA from 1 species